rnacentral:rRNA from 1 species
GGGUCUUGUACACACCGCCCGUCACACCACGGGAGUUGGAGACGCCCGAAGCCGAUUAUCUAAACUUUUGGAAGAAGUCGUCGAAGGUGGAAUUAAUAUAUGGGGUGAAGUAGUAACAAGGUAGACGGAUCGGAAGGUGCGGAUGGAUAACCUCCUUUCUAAGGAGA